GAUGAACGCUGGCGGCGUGCCUAAUACAUGCAAGUCGAGCGAACGGACGAGAAGCUUGCUUCUCUGAUGUUAGCGGCGGACGGGUGAGUAACACGUGGAUAACCUACCUAUAAGACUGGGAUAACUUCGGGAAACCGUAGCUAAUACCGGAUAAUAUUUUGAACCGCAUGGUUCAAAAGUGAAAGACGGUCUUGCUGUCACUUAUAGAUGGAUCCGCGCUGCAUUAGCUAGUUGGUAAGGUAACGGCUUACCAAGGCAACGAUGCAUAGCCGACCUGAGAGGGUGAUCGGCCACACUGGAACUGAGACACGGUCCAGACUCCUACGGGAGGCAGCAGUAGGGAAUCUUCCGCAAUGGGCGAAAGCCUGACGGAGCAACGCCGCGUGAGUGAUGAAGGUCUUCGGAUCGUAAAACUCUGUUAUUAGGGAAGAACAUAUGUGUAAGUAACUGUGCACAUCUUGACGGUACCUAAUCAGAAAGCCACGGCUAACUAC
rnacentral:rRNA from 1 species